AGUGAACGCUGGCGGUAGGCCUAACACAUGCAAGUCGAACGGCAGCACAGUAAGAGCUUGCUCUUACGGGUGGCGAGUGGCGGACGGGUGAGGAAUACAUCGGAAUCUACUUUUUCGUGGGGGAUAACGUAGGGAAACUUACGCUAAUACCGCAUACGACCUACGGGUGAAAGCAGGGGAUCUUCGGACCUUGCGCGAUUGAAUGAGCCGAUGUCGGAUUAGCUAGUUGGCGGGGUAAAGGCCCACCAAGGCGACGAUCCGUAGCUGGUCUGGGAGGAUGAUCAGCCACACUGGAACUGAGACACGGUCCAGACUCCUACGGGAGGCAGCAGUGGGGAAUAUUGGACAAUGGGCGCAAGCCUGAUCCAGCCAUACCGCGUGGGCGAAGAAGGCCUUCGGGUUGUAAAGCCCUUUUGUUGGGAAAGAAAAGCAGCAGGUUAAUACCCCGCUGUUCUGACGGUACCCAAAGAAUAAGCACCGGCUAACUUCGUG
rnacentral:rRNA from 1 species